UCAAUGACAUUAGAAGACUUGAUUAGUAAUGUAAGUAGUAUUAGCCAUACAACUUUGCAACAUAGACCUGCUAGAGAUUUUACCUUUAGCACAAGUAUAAUAACUUUGUUUGUCAGCUGUGCUUUUUUUUCAGUGUAUAAGAAGAAGCUUACCAGGCAUGAGUUGUUAAAACUAAUGUGCAGAUUGUCCUUGAGCUGCUCUCUACUGUGAGAAACGAAGAAGCAAAAAUACCUACGAGAUAACAACUUGGAGCAAGGAGGAGGCUGAGGCAGCGUGUGAAACUGCAAGGCUUCUCGCAGAAAACUACAGCUGGCUUUUAGAGAAAGGACCAAUUAGAAGUACUAUAAACACGCUAGCUUUGCUGCUGAUUGUAAGGGUCUGAUGCUUGUUAGUAAAAUUUGAGUUACAGGCUGCCCGCAGGGGUCAUGGACAUACCAGCUAUCCCCAUGCAUUGAGCCACGGUAUCCCUCACACUAGCCAGGGACAGGCGGUCGUUAAAUGCGCUCACAGCUCAACCGUCUUAGGGAGGGGGAGAGCAUGGGGUGUAGAAGAUACGAGUUUAAUGGUCUACUGAGUCUUUCUUGCAGAUUGAUGUGUUUCUCGGAGUGCUUGCCGUGAUACAGAUCAAGAUGGAGUCACUCAACUAUUGGCAAGAUUGAAUAGUGAAGUGGAACACGACCAGCACCUGAUCAUAUCUUCCUGCAAUUGGCUCAGCUAACAUGUGUGCUAGGCAGAAACGUUAUGUAUCAACCCGUGCCAAAGGACACUGGAGUCAUCGAGCAUAGGGAACAGGAGAUAUGGAUCCAUUUGGGUGCCAGCCAGGUGGACAAGAGCUGUCCUUGAAGCUGCGGAGAUCAAACCAUCUGACGAAAAAGGACAGGAAGAGAUUGAAGAAUAAAUACACCCUCGUCUUGUGGUCAUUGGAGGACUGGCUAACAAUCAAAAGACUGAAGGUUAUAUAACAAAAAUAUAGUGAUUUUUAAUGAAUAAUAAUGAGGUGUUUUGUUAUAAUCAUAGCUUUUAGUGUAACUAUAAUUGCUAACAGCUUGACGCAUUUUAAUCAGCCUAGAGAUAAUAUUUGGAUAACCUUUACUAAUCAAACUGGUCAAUCAUCUCUUUGUCUUAGUUUGGGAGGGGUUACUAAUCCUUUGAUAGGAUUGUAGGUGUGGAAUCCGGAGGAAUUUUGUGGACUAGUAGACAAUAACACCUUGUGUAAUAGGACGGGGCUGAACACAAUUAGCGAUGAUCACGAUCAUUCCGAUGGGAAAGGUCAAUGUGAGAUAAUUAAGUCCCUUAAUACCACAUUAGCCUCACCCCCUGAGGAAAUAGACCUGUUUGGAAGUGCCAAUGCAAGCUUCAGUACUAAUGGAACGGGGGGAAAAACUGGAUAAGUUUUAUGCCACGGGAUAUCCAUAACUUUAAUAGAAAUCAAAAAUAUUGGGCCACGUUAGACUCUUCUUUGAAGUCAGAAACAGUAUUUAAGCAAUUGUAUUCCAGCUGUAAUGCCUCUAGUGUUACAUCACCAAAGAAAUUGCCCAUGGGUAUAUUUUUAAUCUGUGGAGAAAGAGCCUGGAACGGAAUACCAGUAAAUCCCCCGGGUGGACCCUGUUAUUUGGGGAAACUCUCUUUAUUCCACCCUAACUUAACCACGCUAAUGCAGCUUGCUGACCGUAAUAAUAGCUCCCGCAAAAAACGUAGUUAUUAUGAGUUUGAUUGUACUGAUAUUGGUCCCCCAUGAUUUUGGAGUGAACUGAAGCAAGUCAUAGUUGCCAUCCUUUUGUCAGGAGGAGCAGCCAAUAAGGCCAUGAACUUGGCUAAACAGUUAGGAUGUUGGACUAAGGAUGAGGUAAAUUAAACUUCAGAAAUGAUUGGUAUGUUAACAGUUGACAUUCAAAGUGUAAAUCAUGUGGUGUUACAAAAUAGAGCUGCCAUAGACUUUUAUUAUUAGCCCACGGACAUGGAUGUGAAGAGUUUGAGGGCAUGUGUUGUAUGAACCUGCCGGACCAUUCCACCUCGAUACAUGCCAAACUGAAAGAACUUCAACAGGAAUUACAUCAGUUGAAACAAGAAGAGGGAUUAGAACUUGAAGGAUGGCUUAAGGGAUGGGGAAUAGGCCCUUGGUUGCGAACUGUUAUAAUGUAUGGAAUUGGCUUUAUGGGUAUUGUUUUAUUUGCAUUGUUAGUGUUUCCCUGUUUCAUAAAUUGUAUUCAACAGACAAUAGAAGGAACAUUUGAGAGGAUGUGGCAGGCUAAUAUCAUUUUCCAAAAAGAAAAUGGGGGAGAUGUGGGACAUGGAGUUCUGUUAGAAGUAUGUUUGCACAAUCCAAGCUUUGACAUAGAUAACAAGGUCAGCUUGACCUUGGACGCAUGCCAGAAGAAAACUGCCUGAAACAGUAAGCAACUAAGAAGAAGUAAAAGCAGGAUGUUUUAACCACAGCUAUGCUGAGAUAUUGCUUAAACUAAGAGCAUUAGCAAUUAACCAAUAAACUUGUGCUGAGUAGUGUGGGGAGUUUUGUGGAGACUUGGCUAGAGAAAAGAGGACAUGAUAGAAUACAGCUGGUUAGGCAGUAAGCAUUAAGCGAUAAGAUAUUGGACUCCUGCUCAAGGCCGUGAGAGCAAGAGAGCUGUAUGAUAACAGGAUGAAAAAGCAGGAGCUUAGUUUGGGUUAAGCAGCCACAAGUAUCUGGAGGUUGUUGAAACAAGGGCGAGGUUUGCACCUAACUGGGAACCAAUGAUGAGCUUAGCUUUUGCAAUAUGUAUGAGCCUGAUUAUGGUAUCUAUAAAAGAGUUGUAUCUUUGCAAAUAAAGUUGAGACUUGUUGCACUUGUAGUGGGUAGACUUGUCUCCCAUCGUCUUCAGCAGAGUAGCGUAUGGCUUUGUAGAUGUAAUCAAUAAACAUUAUGUUGCUAUCGCCUGAAUUCUGUAUUAUUGUAUAAAUAUCAGUGUGUAUUACUAAUAAACGAGCAUUGACUCCAUGAUAUGUCUUUAACUCCAGAA